CUGAAAAUAUAUUCAUUUGGAGAAUUGGAGGCAGCUACUGGAAACUUUUGUGCAAAGAAGAAGCUGAGUAAUUCUAUUCAUCAUGGGGUUCUUCAUAGAAAUUAGUAGUCCUAAAAAAGACGAGAUGCAGACAUGACAAAGGAGAUUGAAAUUCUAAGGUCAAUCACGUUAAUUUGAUAUGUCUAUAUGGUGUCUGUAAGUGUUGGGAAUCUACUUAAUCAUUCGCAACGGA
rnacentral:lncRNA from 1 species